CCUACGGGAGGCAGCAGUGGGGAAUUUUGGACAAUGGACGCAAGUCUGAUCCAGCCAUUCCGCGUGCAGGACGAAGGCCUUCGGGUUGUAAACUGCUUUUGUACGGAACGAAAAAGCUCUUAUUAAUACUAGGAGUCCAUGACGGUACCGUAAGAAUAAGCACCGGCUAACUACGUGCCAGCAGCCGCGGUAAUACGUAGGGUGCAAGCGUUAAUCGGAAUUACUGGGCGUAAAGCGUGCGCAGGCGGUUAUAUAAGACAGAUGUGAAAUCCCCGAGCUUAACUUGGGAACUGCAUUUGUGACUGUAUAGCUAGAGUACGGCAGAGGGGGAUGGAAUUCCGCGUGUAGCAGUGAAAUGCGUAGAUAUGCGGAGGAACACCGAUGGCGAAGGCAAUCCCCUGGGCCUGUACUGACGCUCAUGCACGAAAGCGUGGGGAGCAAACAGGAUUAGAUACCCUGGUAGUCCACGCCCUAAACGAUGUCAACUGGUUGUUGGGUCUUCACUGACUCAGUAACGAAGCUAACGCGUGAAGUUGACCGCCUGGGGAGUACGGCCGCAAGGU
rnacentral:rRNA from 1 species